UACACUUAAUUAAUUCAAUUAAUCAAUAAAUCAAUUAAUUAGCAGAAAAAUGAAAAGGGAUGAGAUUAGGGGUUUACAUGUGACGUUCAGACUCUAUCCCUCUUGCUCUCUCAGAAACGGUGACGGCAUCACCAAUCUCUCCGACGAGAUUGCGGCGAGCGCCACCAUCUUGGUGCUCAUAUCACCGUAGGGAUUAAACUCCCCUCCUCUAAAUCCCUCUCAAAUCUCCGACGAAAUUUCAACGAACACCAACACAAUCGGAUGAACAAAUCGGUGCCUCUUAGAAUUAGAUGAUGAUUAGGAACAGAAUUCCGUGAAAGGCCUCAAGAAUCCAGGUUGAGGAAGAUUCAAAUGCGUCGCAAAAUCGUUGAUGAACCGAUGAUGAUGGAGUUUAGAGUUUAUGCGUGAUGCGUUGUAGUGUUGUCGCUGUUGUUGAAGUUGAAGGCGUUGAAGAUGAAGCGCGAAGGUUUGCGAGGUAGUGCGGUGACGAUCUUGCAGAGCAAUUGAGGAUUGAAUAUGUGAAGAUGAAGAUUGGUUGGAUAUUGAUUAUUCAGAGAUGAUGAAGAACGAUGGAUGUUGGUGAUUGAAGAAGAUGAUUCCCAAAGAGAGAGCUUCAAUAUUUUCUGUUACAUUUUUCUUCCGUUCUGAAUUUCUGGUGAAGAUUGAACUAAUGUUGUGAAUCUCUCUGCAGGUUUGAAAAUCGAAGGAUGAUUAUGGUAUGGUGAUGAAUACGGAGAGGAAGAUUGAAGAAAUUCAGUGUGAAGAUGAAGAAGAUUCUGGAUUCAGAUUUGCGAUGAAGAAUUAUACAGUGUGAAGGUUGAAGGUUUUAGAAGUAAUGGAGAAUGAGUAGAAGAGUUUUGUUACGUUUUUUACGUUUUCUCUUAUUUUGGAAUGAUGAAGAAGAUUUGCGGUGGAUUCAGUGAAGGUUUGUUGAUGAAGAUUCAAUGGUGAAUCUUUGGUGAUGGUGAUCGAUUCUGAUGCGGAAGCGUGAAUGGAGGAGAAUAGAGUUGAGGAUGAUUUUCUGAGUUUGCCUGUUAGCAUUUCCUUGCAGGAUUCAGGAAUUGGUGAUACUAUGGCUGCGGAUUUGUGGUUUAGCAGCGGUUUAUUUGUGCGAAAUGGAUUUCUGAUUUUUUUUUAUGCCGGUACAGGAUUUGUCAAGGGUUCGGUUUAGGCUCUGUGCCAUAUUGGUUCUAUUUAUCUGAGUCUGACUGUAUUGGAACUUUGUAAUGGAUUGGACUUUUGAAUCUUGAAUCAAUGUUUGAAAUUAUUUGUAAUUCCAUUUGCAUUUCUUUUUGUAAUGAAUGUUUAUUGAAUGAUUGUGGA